GGUAUUUAUGUUUGACACUGCAAAUGCACUUAUUUGUGGAAUGUGACAAUUGAACUGUGUGGUAUUUGUCCCUGAUACAUCUGUUUUUUCUUAGUGAUGCAUUAGGAACCAAUGAUGUGAGAGUUCUCAUACCCAGGAAUGGAAAUCAAAUGACUGUAGUUGAUUGGAGAGCUCCAUCUGUGCUACUGACUCACAUGACUCCCUCUACUCCCUGUGCGUUUUUAAAGAAGAAAAGUAAUGGGAAGUGCCACAUGGAAAUUAAGUAAAAUACCCUCUGAUAUAUCUUGAUUGUCAGUAGAAAACACUCAUUAAUGACAACAAGAUUGACUUCUAACUUAUAUAACAUCCCAGAGCCUUCAUGUAGCAGUUGAUGGAAGUAGAAGAAGAUAACAACAGCUAAACACUGAACUCAAUUGUAAUCCAGUUUGCAGAGAAGGUGGAGGGAUGACCAUAGGAGUCAAGACCACAUUGAAUUGUUUAUUAGGUUUUUCAUCCCAAUGAGACACAACUGCUCUUGGCAACAUCAGUUACAUCAGAGAGGAAGAUGGACAUCAAAGAGGCUCAUUCUAGAUUUUGAUUUCAAAAUGGAAGAAGUAGCCAUUUGGACAAGAAACUGUUCUUGCCUGGACUGCUUGACAGCAUUCUGUCCAAUCUGGAUAAGAAGGUUAUAAUAAAAUUCAUUGUUUUUCUGGCCAAUGGACAGGAUGUUCCCUCAAAUCCUUAAUUCAUCAAAAUUCUGACAGAUAUUCUGG
rnacentral:lncRNA from 1 species